UUUUCAGUUUCCACUUCAUUCUUAGGGUUAUUAGGUUCAGCAUCUUAACGAUUGUCUCUACAAGCAAAUACAUCAAAUCAUAACUCUUAACAACCAUACAACUCCCUCUCCGAAAUUUUUUUCCACUCAGUGUAAUCGAAGUGGAUAAUCAAGUAAGCAUAUGCAUAAAUCUUGCAAUAGCUUUGACUGCAAUAUGCCUCCAUGAAAUUUGACUCACAGAAGUGAACAAAUGACGAAUUUGUUUCGUAUAAUAAGAGAGGGUUUGCGUCUUUUGGAGGAUUCAAUCAUCGACGAAAACGAAAAUGGGUGUUUUCAGGAGCUUUUUACUUGCAGCUUCACCAGUACGAAAUCGUCGUAAGAGCUCUCCCGACGGAGAAGAAUGAGCAGCCGAAGAUUUACAUGAUGAAGCUCUGGACAGACGAACGAGGUUCUUACCAAAUCCAAGUUCUGGUACUUCUUAAGGAUGCAGAAGAAGGUAAAGAUAAGUAAUGGACAUAUGUUAGCUAUCAACGAGGUAUUACGUUUGCAGUUUGCUCUAUUCUCUUAUUGGAAUUAUAUGAAAUUUGGUGUACGAUUGAUUUGUGUUCACUGUGGAUUGUAGUUGAUAAGCUUUCAGAAACGUAGAACAUUUCUCAUAGGUUUUCUUUGACCAAAUCAAACGUAGAGGAUGUCUUAUGUCCAAAAAGGAAGAAAAAAAGUAAGACUUCUCUACCAAAUCAAGUACACAACUUCCAAACUCUCAGAUCUGCGGACGUUCCUUUCACCGCGGCCAUUGCAGCUCUCUUCCAAGCUCUUCCCGAUGGAUUGGUGUAUAGAGUAUUAAAAGAUGUUGUGCCAAGUCAAGCAAUUCCGUGGCAAACAAGUUAGGAAACAAGCAGCCGUCACACCCACGUGUAUGCAAGCUCUUGUUCAAGAUCAGUCUCGUGUAAGAGCUUAUCGCAGAGCGCCGUUAGACUCAAUUGAACUAAAAGAUUAUGCAAAGCAGACCAAGAAUUUAUGUGGUAGUCUCUCAAGAUUAAAGGAUAGAUCAAGCAAGAAGGAGCUAUCAAAGGCUUAUCAUGGUCAUGGAUUUUGGAGCGGGGACUAAGAGAUUUAUCGAUUGAUGGAUCCACGAUCGGAGGAAAGAGGAUGGGAGAAGUUGAUAAAAAGCACUUCUUAAAAGUAUGCAAAUAGAGAUUGAGUGGGGAAAACGUCGAGUUGGAAUAGGCCAUGCUUUGCUCGAAAUGGCAGAAACCCCUCAAGGAUCUAGCAUGGCACCCAUUAAAAUGCGUGGGGACUGGAGAAAACGAAGGAGAUCAAAACUCUCAAACGCAAGCUCCCAUGAAUGUUUAUAAAGAGUUUGUGCUUUUGGAAUAUAAUUAAACACCCCACCUCUUUUGUUAGUAUCUGCUUCGUAUAUAUGUGUAGAAACUAAGUGAUCUAAAUCCAUGCAUGGUUCUUUUGAAAUUAUGGUGUAUUCCUAUUAUUAUGACUAACAUUUUCUCCUUUAGUUAAGAGCUUCGGAUUCUGAACC